AGAGGCUCAUCACAUUCUUCCAUAUGGCGUAGACAAAUGCCACGGCGGCCCUGACUGGGUGUGAGAGCGGCGGUAACAGUUGUCGCUCCUCGGAAAGUGCAAAUGCAGCUGACUGGGCUGCCGCGAGGUCCCUGCAGGUUGACCGUCGCUCUUCGAGGUUUCGCUGCGUGCAGUGUGCACUGUGCACGUUUGGAGCGACGGUGCUCCGCCCCUGACACGUCGGUCAAGCGGUGGCCGUGGCGUGCAUCUUUGCGAUCUCUCGCGUUUCCUUCGCACAGGAGGUCCUUGAGCUGAGCGCGGCGGCGCGAUUUCUCGGCAGCAUUGCCGGUGCUGCGAGUCUGUCACCUGCACUUGUUCUCGGUAGCAACCCGAUUCAUCUGCACGCCUAGGACACCUUGCAGCAACGUUUCUAACAAUGCCCGACAAGAUGUGCCACAGGUUAGCGUGCCGAUGCCCUCGCUUUCGCGAUGGGCUCUGUUUCCCCGACCGGCCAUGCGCUGCCGCAUAGCCGUAAAGGACUGAGGCACAGGAUGGUGCCCCGUCUGACAGGCGACAAAGCGGCCAAGGAGAGCCAUCCACUCAAUGACCUGGCCUCCUCUACACCUGCCCACCGCAGUGAUGUCGAGUCGGGCGGAGAGGGCGACUGGACGGCCGACGAGGAGGUGACGGUGGUGGACAAGGAGCCAUUGCUACCCCGGCGGCUCAGCGCGGAUGGUGUUAAAGGUGACAGGGCCGGAACCACUACGAGUGACACCCCAGAGGCCCUCUGGUCGGUGGCUGUGCAGGUGUUUGUGCCAUUCCUCAUUGCUGGGUUUGGCACAGUUGGCGCUGGACUGGUGCUGGACGUCAUCCAGCACUGGAAAGUGUUCCAGAAGGUGUCCGAGCUGUUCAUCCUCGUGCCGGCACUACUGGGGCUCAAGGGCAACCUGGAGAUGACUCUGGCCUCGCGCCUCUCCACUCAGGCAAACUUGGGAAAGAUGGACACUUCAGCCGAGCAGUGGAGGAUGGCCACAGGGAACCUAGCAUUGCUCCAGUGCCAGGCGACCGUGGUGGGCUUCCUUGCAUCGCUGUUCGCCAUGGUGAUAGGCUGGAUCCCCGAGGGGGCGUUCAGCUGGCGGCAUGCGCUGCUGCUGUGCGCCAGCAGCCUGCUGACGGCCAGCGUGGCCAGCCUGGUACUGGGCCUGGUCAUGAUCGGAGUGGUGAUUGCCUCGCGCAAGUGCCACGUGAACCCGGACAAUGUGGCCACGCCCAUAGCGGCCUCGCUUGGUGAUCUCACCACUCUGGCGCUACUCGCCCUGGUAGCCAGUUUCCUCUACGCCUGCCUUGAGGUGCACCGAAUGUGGCUGGUGGUUGUGGUGCUGGUGGCAGUGGCGUUGCUGCUUCCCCUGUGGGGCAUAUUGGCAUGCGCCAACCCCCACACCCAGGAGGUGCUCUACACCGGGUGGACGCCUGUAAUCUCUGCAAUGGUUAUCUCCAGUGUGGGAGGCUGCAUCCUGGACUUCGCCGUCUCCCGCUUCCAUGGCAUUGCUGUCUUCCAGCCUGUCAUAAACGGCGUGGGCGGCAACCUUGUCGCAGUGCAGGCAAGCCGCAUUUCCACCUUCCUGCACCAGAGGGCGACGCUGGGGUUCCUGCCUGCUUCGGACCCAUCCGUCUGCCUGAAUCCCUUCACUGCCUUCUUCGGCAAGAGUGUGCACGCACGUACAGCUCGUGUGCUGCUCCUGAUGGUGGUUCCGGGACACCUGGUGUUCACGUACGGCAUCCGGCUGCUCAAGGCUGGCCACACGUCGGUCACGCCCAUCUUCCUCGUAGUCUACCUCACUGCUGCCGUGCUGCAGGUGCUGCUUCUACUGUACAUGGCCCAUGUCAUGGUGCACUGGAUGUGGAGCCGGGCGGUGGAUCCCGACAACUCGGCCAUCCCCUACCUGACAGCCCUGGGUGACCUGGCGGGCACAGCUCUGUUGGCACUCUCCUUCCUUCUGCUGGAUGCCAUCGGAGACGGAGAUGUAUUACCAUAGUGACUAAUAUAAUCUUAGAGAUGAACUCGGACAUGUGAGUAUAUUUUGAAACUCUGAAUGUUUCUACGGUUGAUUUCGGUGGCACUGUAGCCGUUCUGGGAAAGUUUCCUUUCUGCAUUGGUGGUGUAGGUGUUAUGCGCAUGUCCUGUACGCUGCGACACUGUCUUGAUUCUCCUGGUCACUGACCGUCUGAAUACACACGUGGUGCAAGGCGUCGGUGCAAUGAACUGUGGUCUGUGCCAAUCCACCGCACCUCCUGUUUUAGUGGCGACACUGACCAGUGUGUCUCAAGAACAUGGAUGUGUUGUCAGGAGUGUUUUGAUGCUUUACAGUUAUGGCUCAUCUGCUAGGUGUUACGUAGGGAAAUUCUUGCUUUGUACUAACCGAGCCUUGCUCUUUAGAAAGCAAGUUACUGUGUUUACAGAAGGGGAAGAAAGGGGGCAGGUUGGUUCACAACAUCGGCAGGAAAAAACAGGGCAGUGGAGAGGACUUGGAAGAAAAAACUGUUGAAGAAAACGGUUCAGUGUCAGGAAAUUG
rnacentral:misc_RNA from 1 species